rnacentral:rRNA from 1 species
UACAGAGACUGCAAGCGUUGUUCGGAUUCAUUGGGCGUAAAGGGUGCGUAGGCGGUGAGGUAAGUUGGAUGUGAAAUCUCAGGGCCUAACCCUGAAAGUGCAUCCAAAACUGCCUUGCUUGGGGACUGGAGGGGAGACUGGAAUUCUCGGUGUAGCGGUGAAAUGCGUAGAUAUCGAGAGGAACACCAGUGGCGAAGGCGGGUCUCUAGCCAGUUCCUGACGCUGAGGCACGAAAGCCAGGGUAGCAAACGGG